rnacentral:lncRNA from 1 species
UGUCACGGGAUGAGUAUUUUACGCAGCUAACCUGUGCGGCGCUUAGACAACUUUGCCGAAUGUUGCUAAGUAAGCCUAGAGCUUCUCGAACUAGAGAAGAGAGCAAUGGAGCCGAAUAAGAAAGCUUGUAUUGCACAAAGGAGAGAUUACAAUGCUUGAGUGCUCAAUGCUUGUUGUUGUGUACAAAUGCCUAAUGCCAUCCCAUAUUUAUAGAGGACGCUUGCCAAGCUCUAGAGAUUCUAGAGAAAUCUACCAACUAUCUAGAAUUUACAUGUGCUGGAAAUGCAUAGAGAAUUCUAGAGUAUUUACAAGCUCAAUGUGCUAGAAUUGCCUAGAACUUUUCGGAAUUGGGUCAAGCUAGCACUCUUGGCCUUGUGUUGGGCUCUUGGUGAGCAAUUUGGGCUAGCGAAUUGGGCAGUCCGCAACAUCCUCCCCCACCUAAGCUCGUGGCGUCCUCGUCGUGCUCUCGUGCUUGAAAUCCUGGACGUGUUCAGCGAAUUGCCACAAAUCCUCUUCACGUUCCCAAGUGGCAUCGCUUUUGGGGAGAUUUUUCCACUUCACCAAGUACUCGCUAUGUGCUGGCACGCCCCUCCUCGAAACCGCACGAUCUGGAAUGAUGUAGUCCACAUCUUUGUCGAACGCGGUGACAACGGCGGUUAGUGCACGCCUCAAUUCUCUGCGACUUGGGUCUCCCAUGUCUUCGUGAUAUGGCUUGAGAAGGCUCACAUGGAAGGCCGGAUGGAUCUUGAGUCUUGGCGGAAGUUGGAGUUGAUACGAGACGUUGCCCACACGUCGAACAACUCGGAAGGGUCCCUCGUAGCGCCUCACUAACCCUUUGUGGACUUUGCGCAAUGUCUUGAAUUGUUGGGGUAGGAGCUUGAUCAUGACUUGAUCACCUUCCUUGUACUCAACAUGCCGUCUCCUUGUAUCCGCUCAUUUCUUCAUUUUCCUCGCGGCUUUGUUGAGGUAGGCUCGCGUGAUAUCCGCUUCCUCAUGCCAUUCGCGGGCGAGCUUGUGUGCCGCGGGACUUUUCCCUCCAUAAGUCGAGGCUAUGGCGUUGGGGGUCAUGGGCUGGAAUCACAUGAUGAUCUCGAACAGACUCUUGCCCGUAGCAUCACUUCGCUGCAAGUUAUAAGAAAAUUGGGCGAUGUCGAGUAGUUUCGCCCAAUCCCGCUGAUGAGCGCUCACAUAAUGCCUCAAGUACAUCUCGAGGAGGCCAUUAAUGCGCUCGGUCUGCGCAUCCGUUUGUGGGUGGAAGCUUGUCGAGAACUUGAGAUCAGUCCCCAACAUCUUGAAGAGCUCCGUCCAAAAACGCCCAGUGAACCGAGGGUCUCGGUCGCUCACAAUGCUCUUUGGAACUCCCCAAAGCUUCACAAUGUGCUUGACGAAUAGGCGGGCUGCCUCGUCCGCUUUGCAAUCGACUGGUGCGGCAAUGAAUGUGGCGUACUUGCUGUAUCGGUUGACAACGACCAUGAUGCUGCCGCACCCUUCAGACUUGGGCAACGAUGUGAUGAAGUCCAUGGAGACACUUUCCCAUGGCCUUGUUGCUAGUGGUAGCGGCUCCAACAAUCUCACUGGGAGUUGAUGAUCCACCUUGUCUUGUUGGCACACAAGACAAGUUCGCACAUAUGCCUUGAUGUCGUCCCUCAUCUGCGGCCAAAAGUACGAGGCUUGAACUAGUGUGGUGGUGCGCUCAAUUCCUGGGUGACCAGCCCACUUGGAGUCAUGGCACUCCUUGAUUACUUCCUUCCAUAAAUUUCCCCACCUUGGCACGAACAGCCGAUCUCCCUUGGUGAGGAGGAUGCCUUCCUCUUGCCAAAAAUGCCUUGUCUUUCCCUCGAGCACUUUCUCCAGCAAAUCCUUUACUAGCGGAUCUUGUUGGAGGCCUUCCUUGAUGCGUGAGACAAGGUCAUACUUCGGUUGGCUCAUGCUAAGUGUUGCCAAUUUGGCCUUGCGGCUUAGAGCAUCCGCAACGACAUUGGCUUUCCCUGGUUUGUACUCGAGCCGGUAGUCGAAUUCCGCUAGAAAGUCUUGCCACCGUGCUUACUUUGGACUCAACUUCUUUUGUGUUUGAAAGUAGCUCGUCACUACGUUGUCCGUCAUGAUCAUGAAGUGAGAGCCUAGCAAGUAAUGUCGCCACACUCUUAGACAAUGGAUGAUGGUUGUCAUCUCCUUUUCUUGCACCGUGUAGCGGUGUUCCGUAUCAUUUAGCUUUCGACUUUUGAACGCUAUGGGGUGGCCUUCUUACAUGAGGACUCCUCCUAUGGCGAAAUCUGAGGCAUCCAUUUGGACUUCGAAGGGCUUUGUGUGGUCUGAAAGGGCAAGGACGGGUUCCUCUGAAAUUGCUCUUUUCAACUCCUCGAAUGCGCGUUGGCACUCUUUGGACCAAUGCCACGUUCUGGUUUUCUUGAGCAUAUCCGUCAAGGGUGCCGCCUUGGCUGAGUAGCCCUUGAUAAAGCGGCGGUAGUAGUUCACCAACCCAAGGAAUGAGCGAAGCUCGGGCACUUUCGAGGGCGGCUCCUAUUCGAGGAUGGCCUUUACUUUGGCAUUCUCCAUCAUGAGCUUCCCGCCCGCAAUCUUGUGGCCAAGGAACUCCACCUCUUGUUGGGCAAACGAGCACUUCUCCAAUUUGAGGAAGAGCUCGUUGUCUCGAAGUACUUGGAGGACUUGUCGCAAAUGUUGGGCAUGCUCCUCAAGUGUGGUGCUAUACACCACGAUGUCAUCCAAGUACACGACCACGAAGCAAUCGAGGAAUGGUUGGAGUACCUUGUUCAUGACUGUACAAAAUGUGGCGGGUGCAUUAGUAAGGCCAAAAGGCAUCACAAGGAAUUCGAAAGACCCGUAACUUGUUGCGCACGCCAUCUUAGGUUCGUCUCCCUUAGCAAUGUGCACUUGGUAGUACCCAGAGUGCAAGUCAAGUUUGGUGAAGUACCGCGCUUUGCCAAGCUGGUCGAACAAGUCUGCGAUCAAGGGAAUCAGAUACUUGUUCUUGAUGGUGAUCUUAUUGAGCGCCUUAUAGUCGAUGCACAUCCGCAGCGAUCCAUCCUUUUUCUUUUGGAAGAGGACCGGUGCGCCGAAUGGGGCCUUUGAGGGACGAAUGUAGCCUGCGUCCAGCAAGUAUUUGAGUUGUUUCCGCAACUCCUCAAGUUCGGGCGGCGCCAUACGGUGCUAUACAAGUAUUUGGAGGACUUGUCGCAAAUGUUGGGUAUGCUCCUCGAGUGUGGUGCUAUACACCACGAUGUCAUCCAAGUACACGACCACGAAGCGAUCGAGGAAUGGUUGGAGUACCUUGUUCAUGAGUGUGCAAAAUGUGGCGGGUGCAUUAGAAAGGCCAAAAGGCAUCACAAGGAAUUCGAAAGACCCGUACCUUGUUGUGCAUGCCAUCUUAGGUUCGUCUCCCUUGGUGAUGCGCACUUGGUAGUACUCGGAGCGCAAGUCAAGUUUGGUGAAGUACCGCGCUUUGCCAAGCUGGUCGAACAAGUCUGCGAUCAAGGGAAUCAGAUACUUGUUCUUGAUUGUGAUCUUAUUGAGCGCCCUAUAGUCGAUGCACAUCCGCAGCGAUCCAUCCUUUUUUUUUUAAAGAGGACCGGUGCGCUGAAUGGGGCCUUUGAGGGACGAAUGUAGCCUACGUCCAACAAGUCUUUGAGUUAUUUCUACAACUCCUCAAGUUCAGGCGGCGCCAUACGGUAAGGCGCCAAGGCUGGCGGCUUCGCGCCUUGUUCCAGCUCGAUUGCAUGAUCUACCUCUCGUCGAGGCGGGAGCUUCUUCGGAAGUUCUGGAGGCAUCGCGUCCUUGUACUCAUUGAGGACAGCUUAAAUUCGCGGAGGGACUUGGCUUGGCGAGGUUCCGCUAUUUCCUUCCUCGUUUAGUUUCCGAAUGGAGACCAAGAAGCUUGGGUCCUUCUUGAAAGCUCUUUUGAAUUGCAUGGCGGAGAGUGUCUUCUCAUCGGGCUUGCCUCGUUCUGUGGGAACCAUCCAUGCCUUACUCCCGUCGAGGCGUUGGAGAGAACCCAUGCUGAGUUGGGGUUCCUCCGAGGACAUUGUGGGGUUGCUCUUUAGUUGGGCAGCAAGAGCGUUGAGCGACUUCUUCUCCGGACAGUCGCGUACCCAAUGAGGACCGUUGCAUAUGAAGCAUGGGCUUUGCGGCUUUGGUGCCUCGUUGCCCUCCAAUUUUCCUUGCCCGCUCUUGUUGUUAGUCGGCUUUUUCUGCCCCCAAUCUUUGCGGUUGUUGCCCUUGUCCUUGCGACUCUCUCCCCCACCUUUGCCUUGGCUAGACUUCUUGUCUUUGGAUUAGGUAGAGUAUUCAGUGAGCGAUUCCGCAACGGCGAUGGCGUCGUCAAGUGUUUGAACACCACGCCUAUCAAGCUCGGUCUUGGCCCAAUCCUUGAGGCCAUCUUGGAAGUAAAAAAGCGAAUCCUUGUCGGACAUGUCGCUUAUCUCCAACAUAAGGGUAGUGAACUCAUUGAUGUAGUCUCGAAUGCUACCCGAUUGCUUGAGGCGAUGUAAGCGCACUCGCUCUUCCUUCUCCGCAUUGCUUGGGGCGAACUGCUUUCGGAGUUCUUGCUUGAAGUCGGCCCAAGUGUCGAUGGUGCAAAUGCCCUUGCCCAUCUCGCCAUGCUUGCGACGCCACCAUAAUUGUGCAGCGCCUCUAAGAUAAGUGGGUGCAGUGCCCACUUUUGAUGCCUCAUCUCGGACACCCAUGGCGUCGAAGUAUUGAUCCAGCCCAAAUAGAAAGUUAUCCACGACUGUGGCAUUGCGUGUGCCAUCGUAAGUGUCGGGCUUUGGCACAUCAAUGCGGCGCGCAUCACUCGUGCUUGCGGAAGCUGGACUAGCGGAGAGUGUGCGCUUGUGCCAUGCCCAAUCCGAGCGAACUUCAUGCACUUCCGCACGGACAACUCGUAGUUCAUCCUGAACAAAGCUACGAAGUUUGAGCAACUCAUCAUGAAAAGAACGAAACGUAUCUCGAAGAGUAUUCGCUUGCUCUUGGAUGAGGGCCUUUGUUGCCACUGUGAACUCGGCGUACUCUCCCUCGAGACCGUCCACUCGUUCCUCUAAUCCCUCGAGGCUGUCUUGAGCGACGGAUAACGCAAUUUCGAGAGUAGUCACACGAGGCUCCAACGCAUCCACGGAUGGGGCCUUGGACUUGCCGCGAGUCUUGCCUUGGGCGCGUUCUCCCUCUCGGCCGCGGCUUGGUUCCGGUGGAACAUCCACACCAACAACACCCUCUUGUGCUACGUUCAAAGGGUUGGCCAUUGCUUCGUGAGCUAACUUGCAUGCGUGCAAACCUUAGCUCUGAUACCACUUGUCACGGGAUGAGUAUUUUGCGCAGUUAACCCGUGCGGCGCUUAGACAACUUUGCCGAAUGUUGCUAAGUAAGCCUAGAGCUUCUCGAACUAGAGAAGAGAGCAAUGGAGCCGAAUAAGAAAGCUUGUAUUGCACAAAGGGGAGAUUACAAUGCUUGAGUGCUCAAUGCUUGUUGUUGUGUACAAAUGCCUAAGCCAUCCCAUAUUUAUAGGGGAGGCUUGCCAAGCUCUAGAGAUUCUAGAGAAAUCUACCAACUAUCUAGAAUUUACAUGUGCUAGAAAUGCAUAGAGAAUUCUAGAGUAUUUACAAGCUCAAUGUGCUAGAGUUGCCUAGAACUUUCCGGAAUUGGGCCAAACUAGCACUCUUGGCCUU